UACAGAGGUCCCAAGCGUUGUUCGGAUUCAUUGGGCGUAAAGGGUGCGUAGGUGGCGUCGUAAGUCGGGUGUGAAAUCUCGGGGCUUAACUCCGAAACUGCAUUCGAUACUGCGGUGCUUGAGGACUGGAGAGGAGACUGGAAUUUACGGUGUAGCAGUGAAAUGCGUAGAUAUCGGGAGGAACACCAGUGGCGAAGGCGAGUCCCUGGACAAUUCCUGACGCUGAGGCACGAAAGCCAGGGGAGCAAACAGG
rnacentral:rRNA from 1 species